rnacentral:rRNA from 1 species
GUCGACGAUUACUCCUACGGGAGGCAGCAGUGGGGAAUAUUGGACAAUGGGCGAAAGCCUGAUCCAGCCAUGCCGCGUGUGUGAAGAAGGUCUUCGGAUUGUAAAGCACUUUAAGUUGGGAGGAAGGGUUGUACGCUAAUACCGUGCAAUUUUGACGUUACCGACAGAAUAAGCACCGGCUAACUCUGUGCCAGCAGCCGCGGUAAUAAUCUCUAGA